UACGGGGGGGGCAAGCGGUUGUUCGGAAUUACUGGGCGUAAAGGGUUUGUAGGUGGCUUGCUAAGUCAGACGUGAAAUCCCUCAGCUUAACUGGGGAACUGCGUCUGAGACUGGCAAGCUCGAGUGCAGGAGAGGAACGCGGAAUUCCAGGUGUAGCGGUGGAAUGCGUAGAUAUCUGGAGGAACACCGGUGGCGAAGGCGGCGUUCUGGACUGCAACUGACACUGAAAAACGAAAGCCAGGGGAGCAAACGGG
rnacentral:rRNA from 1 species